AAUCCAUAGGUUAAUGAGGCGAACCGGGGGAACUGAAACAUCUAAGUACCCCGAGGAAAAGAAAUCAACCGAGAUUCCCCCAGUAGCGGCGAGCGAACGGGGAGGAGCCCAGAGCCUGAAUCAGCAUGUGUGUUAGUGGAAGCGUCUGGAAAGGCGCGCGAUACAGGGUGACAGCCCCGUACACAAAAGCGCAUGUGCUGUGAGCUCGAUGAGUAGGGCGGGACACGUGGUAUCCUGUCUGAAUAUGGGGGGACCAUCCUCCAAGGCUAAAUACUCCUGACUGACCGAUAGUGAACCAGUACCGUGAGGGAAAGGCGAAAAGAACCCCGGCGAGGGGAGUGAAAAAGAACCUGAAACCGUGUACGUACAAGCAGUGGGAGCACAGGUUUACCUGUGUGACUGCGUACCUUUUGUAUAAUGGGUCAGCGACUUAUAUUCUGUAGCAAGGUUAACCGAAUAGGGGAGCCGGAGGGAAACCGAGUCUU
rnacentral:rRNA from 1 species